CGGAACCACCACACGAACUAUCAAGAGAAGUCUCAUUGAACCUGCGGUUGCACGAAAAGUCAUGGCAUCUACCACAUAUAUGCUUAUGCUUGCUGUUCUUGUUUUGGUAAUGCUGCUUCAUGCUACGAGCCAAGUCCAUGGCAUGAGGCGGGCUCCCCCUCCUG